rnacentral:rRNA from 1 species
GACGAACGCUGGCGGCGUGCUUAACACAUGCAAGUCGAACGAAGUGGCGCACGGGUGAGUAACGCGUAAUCAACCUGCCCUUCAGAGGGGGACAACAGUUGAAAACGACUGCUAAUACCGCAUACUGAAGGAGGGGAUUGCGUCUGAGUAGCUAGUUGGGGGGGUAACGGCCCACCAAGGCGAUGAUCAGUAGCCGGUCUGAGAGGAGGAACGGCCACAUCGGUACGGAGACACGGCCCAGAAUCCUUAGGGAGGCAGCAGUGGGGAAACUUCCGCAAUGGACGAAAGGCUGACGGAGCAACGCCGCGUUGUUGAUGACGGCCUUCGGGUUGUAAAGCUCUGUUAAUCGGGACGCGGUACCGGAAUAGAAAGCCACGGCUAACUACGUGCCAGCAGCCGCGGUAAUUC